AUUUUGAACCAAGACCCAAUAUUUCAGCUUAUGGCGGCAACGAUGUCGAUGCUAAGGAGAAGGAAGUUAUGAAAGAUUUCGAACCAAGACCCAAUAUUUCAGCCUAUGGCGACAACGAUGUGGAUGCUAAGGAAAAGGAAGCCGUGAAAGAUUUUGAACCAAGACCCAAUAUUUCAGCUUAUGGCAGCAACGAUGUGGAUGCUAAGGAAAAGGAAGCUGUGAAAGAUUUCGAGCCAAGACCCAAUAUUUCAGCCUAUGGUGAUAACGAUGUCGAUGCUAAGGAGAAGGAAGUUAUGAAAGAUUUCGAACCAAGACCCAAUAUUUCAGCUUAUGGCGACAAUGAUGUGGAUGCUAAGGAAAAAGAAGCCAUGAAAGAUUUUGAACCAAGACCUAAUAUUUCAGCUUAUGGCGGCAACGAUGUGGAUGCUAAGGAAAAGGAAGUCGUGAAAGAUUUCGAGCCAAGACCUAAUAUUUCAGCUUAUGGUGACAACAAUGUCGAUGCUAAGAAAAAGGAAGUUGUGAAAGAUUUUGAAACAAGACCCUAUA
rnacentral:lncRNA from 1 species